GGGAAGAUGGCUCAGUGUUAGAGCGCUUGCCUUGCAUGCAUGAGGCCCUGG
rnacentral:tRNA from 1 species